GAGGGAUCAUUACCGAGUUAUCCAACUCCCAACCCCUGUGAAUUAUAUUUAAUUGUUGCUUCGGCGGGACUUCGCGCCCGCCGGGGACCCAAACCUUCUGAAUUUUUUAAUAAGUAUCUUCUGAGUGGUUAUUUUAUUAAUGAAUCAAAACUUUCAACAACGGAUCUCUUGGUUCAUCGAUGAAGAACGCAGCGAAAUGCGAUAAGUAAUGUGAAUUGCAGAAUUCAGUGAAUCAUCGAAUCUUUGAACGCACAUUGCGCCCGUCAGUAUUCUGGCGGGCAUGCCUGUUCGAGCGUCAUUACGCCCCUCAAGUCCCCUGUGGACUUGGUGUUGGGGAUCGGCGAGGCUGGGUUUGCAUAUUACGGCGUUAAGCCCCAGCACAGCCGUCCCUCAAAUCAAUUGGCGGUCUCGCCGUGGGGCUUCCUCUGCGCAGUAGUAAAACACUCGCAACAGGAGCCCGGCGCGGUCCACUGCCGUAAAAACCCCCAACUUAAUUUUAUAGUUGACCUCGAAUCAGGUAGGACU
rnacentral:rRNA from 1 species